UUUAGCCAUGCUAGCUCGCGCGGGUCAGACCCGCGGCAUAUAGCUCAGUAACACGUGGCCAAACUACCCUAUGGACAGGGACAACCUCGGGAAACUGAGGCUAAUCCCUGAUACCACUCUCAUGCUGGAGUGCAGAGAGUGAGAAACGCCCCGGCGCCAUAGGAUGUGGCUGCGGCCGAUUAGGUAGAUGGUGGGGUAACGGCCCACCAUGCCCAUAAUCGGUACAGGUUGUGAGAGCAAGAGCCUGGAGACGGUAUCUGAGACAAGAUACCGGGCCCUACGGGGCGCAGCAGGCGCGAAACCUUUACACUGCACGACAGUGCGAUAAGGGGACUCCGAGUGCGAGGGCAUAUAGUCCUCGCUUUUCUGUACCGUAGGGAGGUACAGGAACAAGUGCUGGGCAAGACCGGUGCCAGCCGCCGCGGUAAUACCGGCAGCACGAGUGAUGACCGAUAUUAUUGGGCCUAAAGCGUCCGUAGCUGGCCAAGCAAGUCCAUUGGGAAAUCGACGUGCUCAACGCGUCGGCGUCCGGUGGAAACUGUUUGGCUUGGGGCCAGAAGACCUGAGGGGUACGUCCGGGGUAGGAGUGAAAUCCUGUAAUCCUGGACGGACCACCAAUGGGGAAACCACCUCAGGAGGAUGGACCCGACAGUGAGGGACGAAAGCUAGGGUCUCGAACCGGAUUAGAUACCCGGGUAGUCCUAGCUGUAAACGAUGCUCGCUAGGUGUGCCGUA
rnacentral:rRNA from 1 species